CGAUGACUACCGCGUUGAAUAAUUUCGUCACAAACACUCACAAUGACUUCGUUUGGCCGUAUCCGGUACCGCUUAUUGCGAAACCUGCACAACCACCCAUGAGCACGGGGAUUCGAUUAUACAUGCAAAGAAUUGAACCUGAGGAUUGUAAAUGCGACGUUCAUGGCCAACAAAGCAACGAAAAUAAGUACAAGUACUUAGCCCAGAAGGAACGGCAGAUUUACGAUCAAUUGAUGAAAGUUAAUCAGAAUAUGAAGAAUCUAGUGUCAGCCAUGUUGGAUAAUCAGUGCGAAUCGAUGGAUGAAACCAUGAGGAGCGUUUAUCAAACGGACUACUCAAGGAGAGGAUUGCCGAUUGGCGAGUACAGAAAACUCAUGGCUGCAGUCGAUUCUUCAUAUUGUUCGCCGAUACCGUCUGAAGUCACAGAAAUAAAAAAGGGUUACAGAGAUCCUACGAGAUUUCGAUACACCGCCAUAGAGAGGCCGCAUAUUCAACCUGCGAAGACCAUCAAUCUUUCACAAGUUCCAGAAACAUUCGAUAUGUGGGAGACACCUUUCACUAGUCGUUCAGAAUACAUGGAUACCAUCAGUAAGAUGGGCCUAAGUAACAUGAAAAAUCGACAACAAUACUUGGAACCUUUACCUUCAUCUAGAAGAAGAUUCGGCGACUGUAAAUUGUAGACUCGAAAUCACAAAUCCCAACUUUUUUAAUCACCAUGCCUUAUGAAGUCAAUUAUUGAAGUCACGCAGUUACAAUAAACAUUUGAAACAUUUUAAUACUUUAUUAAUAAGUUUUAUUUCAGUAUUAUUAUUAGAAAAGAAUAUUUUAUUAAGUUUCUAUCUCAAUGUUUGAGCUUGAAUUAAUGGACCAUAAACAAAAGACAGGGUGCUACCAUCAGUUAUUUCGAUAAACUUUACUAAUCUAUUAACCUAUUUUCGAGAAUACAGACGCAAUUUUGUGAAACACAAAUUGAAACCGGUGGAUAAGUAAGAAAAUGACUAAGAGGUUAAAAAGUUUAUUGGAAACAGUAACAUUUUCUCAGGAUAAUUCAAGGUGGUGGAUUCGAGGAACGCAUAGAGGAAGGACAAAUUGACCCUCGUAUAGC
rnacentral:misc_RNA from 1 species